rnacentral:rRNA from 1 species
ACGAACGCUAGCGGCGUGCCUAACACAUGCAAGUCGAACGAGAAAUCCUGAGCAAUCGGGAGAGUAAAGUGGCGCACGGGUGAGUAACGCGUGGGUAAUCUACCCUGGAGUCAGGAAUAACACUUCGAAAGGAGUGCUAAUACCUGAUAACCUCCUGGAGAUUUCGGUCUCCGGGAUAAAAGAUGGCUGAGGCUUGCAAGCUAUUACUCCAGGAUGAGCCCGCGUACCAUUAGCUAGUUGGUGGGGUAAUGGCCCACCAAGGCAACGAUGGUUAGCUG